UACGGAGGAGGCAAGCGUUAUCCGGAAUUAUUGGGCGUAAAGCGUCCGUAGGUGGUUGGCCAAGUCUGCUGUCAAAGGGUGGGGCUUAACCUCAUAAAGGCAGUGGAAACUGGCGAGCUAGAGUGCGGUAGGGGUAGGGGGAAUUCCCAGUGUAGCGGUGAAAUGCGUAGAGAUUGGGAAGAACAUCGGUGGCGAAAGCGCCCUGCUGGGCCUGCACUGACACUGAGGGACGAAAGCUACCCUAGCUAAAGGC
rnacentral:rRNA from 1 species